CGUGACAACCACGUACAGCAUAUCGCCGUUCAUGGACAGCUCAACCCGAACGCCGCCAGCGUAUCUCUUGAAGACUCUUACCCCGCGCGCCGCUGAUCGCCGGGCGACUUCUGCAAGAAGCUCGGACUCGGUGUAGGUAGGCGUGCCCCGCACGCAAGUAUCAUCAACAUUGCCCCAAACGUCUGCGAUGACGUUGUUGAGGACCCUCGGGGACUGGGCCCACUGCUCCAGCUGAGCGUCAGGCACCUUCAAGAGGGCCCACCGCUGGAACCUCUUGGGCUGCUUGAGCAGCACCUCCAGGAUCUCGUCGGGG
rnacentral:rRNA from 1 species